ACUAGGGAUGUGAAAAUAAGAUCUAGGGGGUGUGGGAAUAAGGGGGGCCUAAAAAACAUACCCUCUAGUGGUGGGGUAAAAAAUAGAAGAUUAAAAAAGGCCUCCCUUAUUCCCACGCCCCCUAGAUCUUAUUUUCACAUCCCUAGUGUA
rnacentral:pre_miRNA from 11 species